rnacentral:lncRNA from 1 species
CACGUCUCCCCUAUGCCUUUCUGGGGCAAGAUCUGUACAGGUGGCUUGGUAGUCAAUAUUGGGAAUUCUUUUGAAGCCCUUCCCAUUUGACCAGUCAUGUUCCCUAACCACAUCCGCGCACCCCUCCCCAAGCCCAAGGACCAAGAGGCAGGAAUGGGAUGAGUUUUCAACAUUUAUUGACAGGUGGCAUUGUUCCUUAGCAGGCUCCUGUUUUUCAUCGGACGGUGGCAUUUUUCAAGAUGUGGCGAGAUGCUCUUGAAGUCUGGUAAAAUUCUCACGCAGGAGUUUUGAUGGACUUGCUAUUCUGUGCAUCUAGUAUUUUUUACACCUUAUGGUGUAUGAGCGGCGGCGACGGCAGCAUCCUAGAAAGGUAAGAAAAGUGGUGAGAGGGACUCCCAGACUGCCCAGUCCCGCACCCCACACCCCCCACAGCCCAGCCCAGCCCUCUACUUACUUCGCCUCCUCCGCCGGCAGCAUCGCCUCCUCCGUCUGCGACAUCUUCGCCUGCGACGGCGGCAUCUGCUCCUGCUUUUGCUGCGGCAGCAUCGGUAUCUGGCCAUGGUGCUGGCUUGGCCGGGAGCUGGCUCAGAGCAGGGGACACCACCUGGGUCGAGCCAGCCAACCUGUGAGCAGAGGAUUGCAGUUCAUAUUAGACUUGGCAUCUGGUCAAGAGAAGUAGUAUAGGAUGAAGAGGCUUUGUUGUGCUUUCUGCCAACCAGAGAGGCCCACCAUGUCCUGAGGAUACACAGGUAGGCAGAAGGGUGAUAGGCACCUUUUUUUUGGGGGGGGGGGUGUUUCGAGACAGGGUUUCUCUGUAUAGCCCUGGUUAUCCUGGAUCUCACUCUGUAGACCAGGCUGGCCUCGAACUCAGAAGUUCACCUGCCUCUGCC